ACACGCCUGUAGACCCCUAGCAGCUGCC
rnacentral:piRNA from 1 species